AUACGUAGGGGGCGAGCGUUGUCCGGAAUGAUUGGGCGUAUAGGGCGCGUAGGCGGCCUGUUAAGUCUGGAGUGAAAGUCCUGUUUUCAAGAUGGGAAUUGCUUUGGAUACUGAUGGGCUUGAGUGCAGGAGAGGUUAUCGGAAUUCCCGGUGUAGCGGUGAAAUGCGUAGAGAUCGGGAGGAACACCAGUGGCGAAGGCGGGUAACUGGACUGCAACUGACGCUGAGGCGCGAAAGUGUGGGGAGCAAACAGGAUUAGAUACCCUGGUAGUCCACACGGUAAACGAUGAAUGCUAGGUGUAAGAGGUAUCGACCCCUUUUGUGCCGGAGUUAACACAAUAAGCAUUCCGCCUGGGGAGUACGGCCGCAAGGUUGAAACUCAAAGGAAUUGACGGGG
rnacentral:rRNA from 1 species